GAAACCAAAACCCUGCAUUCCAAGGCUUACUCCAAGUGGCCUACAAAACCUCACUGACCACUGUGGCAAGUGGCACGUCAUGUGUGCCUUUGGGAAUGACUCUUAUUCUUGUCUCUCUGGCUCCACUCCAGUGGCAUCGUGACUUAGGCACGUGGCAGUGGGUCCAGGAGCGUGUGGGGAGCUCUGUCCCUGGUGUUUUCUUCCUGGGAAUGCCAAGCACACAUCCAAUGCCAGCUUGAGAAGGGUCCUGCAGACAAGUCCCAUGGAGCCUCCAGUCAACUCACAGAUGAAGCCCAUAAGACAAACUUCAUGCAUGCACUCCCAGGAGCAUGAAGAUACUACAAGCAUGUAAGAGAACACUGGAGCUCUAAGGCCAUAAUCCUGGAAAUUCCUACAUGGAGGUCCUGUAUACAGGAUUACUUUGUUUCCCUGUACCCCCUGUAUGUUGUGACACAAAGCUCAGUUGGGUGGUCCUAUGAUGGUGUGUGCUGCGGUAUCUCUGACUUGGGAACCUUGGGUCCUGUAGGAGCUCCUGGAGCUGAAUGAGCUCUACUGGCAUGUGCUCUGCUCCUGGAUCAGACAGCGUCUGACCUGCCUGUCGCAUUGCCUGCAAGUCCUUCAUGUCCCAGUCCUGUCUGUCUUGGAAGAUGCAAUGAGAACGUGCAGCCUCCAGACACCGAGGAGAACCACAUCAGAGCUGGAAAUUAAAAUGUCCACAGUGAAAACCAUCCACCUAUGUAAUUAGCUUUUUUUUAAGGAAACUUGACUGGACUAAAAAAUGUGCACAAGAUGACUGGAAGACACGGGGAAAACAAAAUGCAACCUCCUCCUGACCUGGAAACAGAGAAGAUUUCCAUCACUGGUAUGACCAGGCCUUUGUGUAGCUGCUUUCUCACGAAGCAGUUAGAUAUAGUCUAGUCACAGGAUACAAAUGUUACUUUUUGGGGUGCAUUCUUCUACCCUGUAUGGCUUGUACAAUAUUAUUUAACAUUAUUUUUGUUACGCUGUGAGCCUGUACUAAACUGUAAGCAUUACUCGACUAUUGUCAAAUAGAAACAGUUUCGGGUGCUAAAUGCCCAAGGAAAGUGAGUGAAGUAUAUAUACCUAAAAUACAUGAAUAAUU